GUCUGCGACAUCUGUGGAGUUGAAAAAGAAGAUGAGUUCCACGCUACUGUGUCAUGCACCAGGAGCAGGGCACUGAGGCAUGCAAUGAGGGACCAUUGGAACAUUCCAAAGGAAUCUCAGUUCUCCCGCUCGGGACCAGAUUGGCUGCAGAACCUGCUAUUGGCUAAUUCAGAAACGGUCAGAAAUAAGAUACUACUGAUUCUAUGGCAGAGUUGGAGCUUAAGAAAUAAUAUAAUCCAUGGUGAUAGAAAGGACACGGUGUCGGGAGCAGCCCAGUACCUAAUCAGACUCAAUGAUGAACUGACAAGUGGCCAAUGCAAGCCGGAAUCGAGCUCGAGGAAGAAGCAUGCCCGCCUAUUUCCUGACAGUCCAUGCAAAAUACCAAUUACAAAGGCAGAUCAUUGGACCACCCCAGACCCAGGUAUGGUAAAACUGAAUUGUGACACAAGUUACUUCCAAGAAACAGGUGAGGCAUGGGGCGGGGUAGUGGCCAGGAACUGUCGAGGAGAAAUCAUGGCGUAG
rnacentral:rRNA from 1 species